GUCUAUAGCUAUACCACCCUAAAUGCAUCUGAUCUCAACUUAUAGCAGAAGCUAAGCUAGAUCGGAACUAAUUAGUACUUCUGUGGGAGAUUGCCUGGGAAUGCUAGGUUUGGAGGUU
rnacentral:rRNA from 1 species